UACGAAGGGGGCUAGCGUUGUUCGGAAUCACUGGGCGUAAAGCGCGUGUAGGCGGCAGCGUGUGUCGGGCGUGAAAUCCCAUGGCUCAACCAUGGAAGUGCACCCGAAACUGCGCAGCUAGAGUCCUGGAGAGGAAGGUGGAAUACUUGGUGUAGAGGUGAAAUUCGUAGAUAUCAAGUGGAACACCGGUGGCGAAGGCGGCCUUCUGGACAGUGACUGACGCUGAGACGCGAAAGCGUGGGGAGCAAACAGG
rnacentral:rRNA from 1 species